rnacentral:rRNA from 1 species
CGUGGGUGAUGAAGGCUUUCGAGUCGUAAAGCCCUGUCAGGUGGGACGAAACCCUUGGGGUUAAUAGCUCCGAGGACUGACGGUACCGCCAAAGGAAGCACCGGCUAACUCUGUGCCAGCAGCCGCGGUAAUACAGAGGGUGCAAGCGUUGUUCGGAAUUACUGGGCGUAAAGCGCGUGUAGGCGGUAGGGUAUGUCAGAUGUGAAAGCCCCUGGCUUAACCAGGGAAGUGCAUUUGAAACUGCUCUACUGGAGUGUAGGAGAGGAAGGCGGAAUUCCCGGUGUAGAGGUGAAAUUCGUAGAUAUCGGGAGGAACACCCAUGGCGAAGGCGGCCUUCUGGCCUAUCACUGACGCUGAGACGCGAAAGCGUGGGUAGCAAACAGGAUUAGAUACCCUGGUAGUCCACGCUGUAAACGAUGAGUACUUGAUGUGGGAGGAGUUAACCCCUUCCGUGUCGGAGCUAACGCGUUAA